rnacentral:rRNA from 1 species
CAGCCGCCGCGGUAAUACGGAGGGUGCAAGCGUUAUUCGGAAUUACUGGGCGUAAAGCGCACGCAGGCGGUUGCCCAAGUCAGAUGUGAAAGCCCCGGGCUUAACCUGGGAACUGCAUUUGAAACUGGGCGACUAGAGUAUGAAAGAGGAAAGCGGAAUUUCCAGUGUAGCAGUGAAAUGCGUAGAUAUUGGAAGGAACACCGAUGGCGAAGGCAGCUUUCUGGGUCGAUACUGACGCUCAUGUGCGAAAGCGUGGGGAGCGAACAGGAUUAGAUACCCCCGUAGUCCCUGUCUCUUAUAC